rnacentral:lncRNA from 1 species
UUCAAGGUUUCUGACUUGAAUUUUAUUUAUUCUCCUGUGUUUUCAAGGUCACAGCUUUCCCAGCUACUCGGAAUGUUUUGCGACAGCUACAUGAACUUGCCCCCUCCAUCUUCUUCUACUUGGUGGAUGCCGAGCAGGGGCGGCUCAGCGGGUAUCGGCUUCGCAAGGAUCUCACUACAGAACUGAGUUGGGAGCUGAUCAUCCCCCCAGAAGUGCAACGGGUCGUCCAGGUGAAGGGGAAGCGCAGCAGUGAGCACGUGCACUCCCAGGGCCGGGUGAUGGGGGAUCGAAGCGUGCUCUACAAGGUACGCUGUGCCUCCUGGCACGGAAAGGCUGGGUUUUCUAAUUAAUUAGUUUAUUUAUUUUUAAUUUUUAUUGGAAAUAUUUCUUUAUUUACACUUCAAAUGUUAUUCCCUUUCCCAGUUUCCUGUCCAUAAGCCCCCUAUUCCCUCCCCCUCCCC